AAGCAUUGAUUGUAGCUUUAUUUGAUCAUGAAAUGGCUGCAACUAUUAGAUAGGAAGGGCUGUUGCACAAAAUGUAUUUCUAAAUAAUUGCCCCAUAGAUCCUAUAUCUAUCUUUAUGAAGAAGAAAUCAUGUAAUGAACGGAAUUCUUAACAAUACUUCUUUAUCUUUUGAGUUGUUUUAUCUGAUUGGUUGCACCUUCCUACGUAUUAGAUUGUCCAUCUGCGAUGAGAUAAGACACAAUCCACUUUACUGGCUGUGAAAUUGAGCAUAACCACUCGUGAUUUGGUCCUAUGAAUAUAUCAUGAGAAUCCUUGUUUUCUGUUCUGGAUGACCAACAUGAAACAUCUAGUUAUCCGGCAUAACUUGAAUCCUGGAAAUUUGUGAUUUAUGAUUUACAAGAGAGAAGAAAUGAAAUUUUGUUGUGUGCAAAGAAGGCAUUAGUGUGAAAAGAAGGCGGUUGUUGUCGGAAUUGUCGGUUAUAUACCAUGGAACUCUUCCUAAUUGUAGCUGGAAUUGUGAUUUCAGUUUAACUGGUUGGGAUUAUCUUAUGGAAGCAGGGUGGUGUGCAUCUUAUGUGCCAUGUGUUUUGAUGUGAUUAUCCGUAAUUCUAAUAUUUCCUGAGUUUAAGGAGGUUCUCUAUGCUUUCAUAUUUUGUUUACUGGGUAUGGAGCUCCUUAUGUUCUUGUAAUAAUUUUUUCUUCAUACAUUACUACAUUUCUAUAUUUCAUCAGCAUGUGUGCUUACUUGAAAUAUUUAUUUUCACUAAUUGUUGAUUUUG
rnacentral:misc_RNA from 1 species